rnacentral:rRNA from 1 species
GUCCACGCCGUAAACGAUGAACACUAGGUUUUUACCCCGUCAACGGGCCAGAGCCGUAGCUAACGCGUUAAGUGUUCCGCCUGGGGAGUACGCUCGCAAGGGUGAAACUCAAAGGAAUUGACGGGGGCCCGCACAAGCGGUGGAGCAUGUGGUUUAAUUCGACGCAACGCGAAGAACCUUACCAGGGCUUGACAUGGGAAGGACAGGACGAGAGAUCGUCCCUCUCCAGCAAUGGAGCCUUCUACACAGGUGCUGCAUGGCUGUCGU